GGCGAGUUCGUCAUACACUGCAAGAAAGAAGCUGCCUUCUUUUCAUGGCUCCACCCUUUACAACUUCAAAAUACUGUCACAUACUCAGGAGGUGGGAGCUGCCGGCAAAAUGACAGCUUACAGGCUCUGGAGCAGGGGAGAUGCAGGAGACUUUCCCUCCAGAGACCCUGGCAGAUCCCCUGAGAGUUCAGUGUGCUGUGGUGCAAGACUCUAAAGAACCUGCGGUUAUGAAGCAUCUGACCACAUUCAAAACAGUUUAUUAACCUGUUUCGCAACACUGAGCUCAUCUAAAGUUUUUCAGACGGCAAGGUCUCUUCUUCAGAGAAACCACAAAUGGCAGCUGGUGAGUGUGCAGCAGGAGGGCUUGGAGGAUGGGGUGGGGAUGAGUGGGGUUAGGAGGCCACUGGGCUCGUGGAGGCAAAGCCAAAGACAAGGAGUGGAGCUGGGCUGCCUGGUCAAGGACAUGAAGAACAAGUCCCUGGAGGGAUCUGCCUGUUCUCCCUGCCCAUCAAGGAACCUGAGAUUAUUGACUUCUUCCUGGGAGCAUCCCCAAAAGAUGAGGUUCUAAAGAUCCUGCCAGUGCAGAGGCAGACUCAGGCUGGCCAGCGGACCAGGUUCAAGGCUUUUGUGGCUAUUGGGGACUACAAUGGUCAUGUUGGUCUUGGUGUUAAGUGCUUCAAGGAGGUAGCACUGUCAUCCAAGGGGCCAUCAUCUUCAUUAAACUUUCCAUCACUGGAGAGGCUGCUGGGGGGACAAGAUUGGCAAACCCCACACUGUUGCAUGCAAGGUGAUAGGCUGCCAUGGCUCUGUGCCGGUGUGCCUCAUCCCUACCCCUAGAGACGCUGGCAUCAUCUCUGCUCCUGGGCCCAAGAAGCUGCUGCUGCUGCUGCUGCUGGGCCAGGAUUGAUGACUGCUACACGUCAGCCAGGGGCUGCUACCCUGGGCAACUUUGCCAAGGCCACCUUUGAUGCCAUCUCCAUGAGCCACAGCUACUCAGCCCCAACCUCUGGAAAGAGACUGUGUUCACCAAGUCUCCUUAUCGGGAAUUCACUGACCAUCUUGUGAAAACCCACACCGGAGUUCCUGUUUGGGGGACUCAGGCUCCAGCUGUGACCACCACAUAAGGAUUUUUGUACCAGAAAAAUAAAGUGAAUUAAGU